rnacentral:rRNA from 1 species
GAUGAACGCUGACAGAAUGCUUAACACAUGCAAGUCGAUGGGGAAGUGGUGCUUGCACCAUGGCAACCAUGGCGGACGGGUGAGUAACGCGUAAGGGACUUACCUGCAGGACUGGGAUAACAGGGGGAAACUCCUGACAAGACCGGAUAAUGUCAUGGAGCUGCAUGGCUUUAUGAUGAAAGGAGACGCCUGCGGAGAGCCUUGCGUCCUAUUAGCUAGUUGGUGAGGUAAUGGCUCACCAACGCGAAGAUAGGUAGCCGGCCUGAGAGGGUGGACGGCCACAAGGGGACUGAGAUACGGCCCUUACUCCUACGGGAGGCAGCAGUGGGGAAUAUUGGACAAUGGGGGCAACCCUGAUCCAGCAAUUCUGUGUGCACGAAGAAGGUUUUCGGAUUGUAAAGUGCUUUCAGCAGGGAAGAAGUAAGUGACGGUACCUGCAGAAGAAGCGACGGCUAAAUACGUG